rnacentral:lncRNA from 1 species
UCCGUGGUUCAACAGCUAAAGAGCAAUUUGAUGGGACUGGGAUGGGGAAAUUACUUGAUUAGCGUCCGUCGGAGGAGAGCACGGUUACAGCCCCUCAGCUUGGAAUCCAACUGCGGAACAAAACGCGCUGGUGGACCCUUGGGGUCGUGGAUCCCAGACUGGCUCUAGCCGCUAGAGAAGAAAAAGCCUUGCUGGAGAGCGUGAAGUUUUGCUGGCGGUGGCGGUAGUGACAAGGCUCUGAGGAGGAGAGACCUGGGACCGGAAGGGCGAGACACCGCUAGUGAAGCCCAGACCUGUAGCAGUCCUCGAGCACACUAACUCUUCAAGGCGACCUAGCUGGACAGAGAACUCUAUGUCUUCUGCCCCGCACUGUCUUUCUCUGAUGAAUGCUUAUGCACCUGUGGUUCGAAGCGCUUCCUGGGGCGACCAAAGCUGUGCAUUUUAAUUCCAAAGUCAAGUGAUUGAGCCCUGUCAAAGUUGGGAGAGGGAAACACGAUGGAGACUGCUCAGAGUUGGCUUUAUAGUUAUUUUUGCAAGUUCUGCCCGGUACCCACAGUAUUGGCCAGAAAAGCAAAAGAGGCCGCUGCAAUUUAUUCCAAUGGGCGGUUUUUAAGAAGCUGGCAAUUUGAACCGGCUGGGUGUUAUUUAGUGCAAUAUGAAAUCAAAUGAUCCUAUUUCUCAAAUAACAGUGUCUGUGAGGAGAAGUGAAUCCUCUGAAAGGGUAAUUGUCUGCUGAUGGUGUUUCCCAUUAUACCCGAUCUUGGCCUAAAUGAUGCUGGGCGGCAGGGCGGAGAGUGAGGGGUGAAAUCAAAGCACGCAACUCGGGCUCCGGAGGAAGAAAAGGUCCCUCUAGAUCGCUUACCCACAAGUCUAGCGCACAAUGCGGCCGAUUGCAUCACCGAUUUGGAUGCUAUUCUGCAGAUCUCCGACAUCAUCAAACUGAAGUGAUCUUGGGAAUAAGAGAAUAAAACUGACUCUCUUUUCGAAACUUUAGGAAUCCUUAGUAUCUUGGCCGCAUUGUUGAGCCAACAGAUAACCAAGAUAGUAAAACCCAGUUUGGCCAUGCUCCCACCUCCUUAUCCCAAGUUAAUAUUGAGAACACAGUAGUUCUUUCCAAGACACACUCUCUAGGCUUUUCCCUGUCUGGUCUCCUCGGAGCCCACAUUAGAUCUUGUAUAAGGAGUUGCCUGCACCAGACAGCAAUUUGGUGUGUAUGGUAGGAAGAGAAGGGUUCACACAGGACUUUAAAAUUGAUUCUCUGUAGAUCCAAGCCAGUUUCUGGCAGAACCCGAUAUGGGGCCAGCAGUGUCUGAGUAAAGCACAGAUGAAAGACAAA